rnacentral:misc_RNA from 1 species
GAUGAAGAACGUAGCGAAAUGCGAUAAGUAAUGUGAAUUGCAGAAUUCAGUGAAUCAUCGAAUCUUUGAACGCACAUUGCGCCCGCCAGUAUUCUGGCGGGCAUGCCUGUUCGAGCGUCAUUUCAACCAUCAAGCCCCCGGCUUGUGUUGGGGACCUGCGGCUGCCGCAGGCCCUGAAAAGCAGUGGCGGGCUCGCUGUCACACCGAGCGUAGUAGAUCUCAUCUCGCUCAGGGCGUGCUGCGGGUUCCGGCCGUCAAACCACCAUCAUAACCCAAGGUUGACCUCGGAUCAGGUAGGAAGACCCGCUGAACUUAAGCAUAUCAAUAAGCGGAGGA